AUCCGAAGUGUGAAAACGCCUCGUGAGAGCUUCCCAUGACCUACAAAGACCUUGCAAUGUAGAUGACACCAAGAGAAUUGUCAAAACUGGUCAUUCAGGCCGGGGGCCAAGGGCGUGUGAGGGCAUCAAUACAAGGCAUUGAUCCCAAGGCCUCUCCCAUACAAGACAAGGGCUCUACCACUGAGCAAUGUCACCAGCGCCAUGAAUUUAAGACUGGUUCGUAAGUUGGAACACUUGAUCUCUAGGAGGCAGUGGUGGUUUUGGAGGCUGUGGAACUUCAAGGAAACUCGAGAGAACUGGAGGAAAUGGUCACUAGGGGAUGAUUCCAACUCUACUCCCUGUUCUGUCUCUGCCUGUUGGCCCUCAAGCACCUAAGCAACCAGCCUUUACCUCUGGCUGCUUCUGCCUCAAACAGCUCUGGCCACCAUGCCUUCUCCAUCAUGGCAGACUGUAUCUUCAAACUAUGAACCGAA